CCUACGGGGGACAGCAGUGGGGAAUAUUGGACAAUGGAGGAAACUCUGAUCCAGCGACGCCGCGUGAGUGAAGAAGUAUUUCGGUAUGUAAAGCUCUAUCAGCAGGGAAGAAAAUGACGGUACCUGACUAGGAAUCACCGGCUAACUACGUGCCAGCAGGCGCGGUAAUACGUAGGGGGCAAGCGUUAUCCGGAUUUACUGGGUGUAAAGGGGGCGUAGGCGGUUUUGCAAGUCUGAUGUGAAAGAUUGGGGCUCAACCCCAGAACUGCAUCGAAAACUGUUAAACUGGAGUACAGGAGAGGUAAGCGGAAUUUAUAGUGUAGCGGUGGAAUGCGUAGAUAUUAGGAAGAACACCAGUGGCGAAGGCGGCUUACUGGACUGUAACUGACGUUGAGGCUCGAAAGCGUGGGUAGCAAACAGGAUUAGAUACCCCUGUAGUC
rnacentral:rRNA from 1 species